rnacentral:rRNA from 1 species
GGCCCCCGGUAGACGACCGGGUUGAUAGGCCGGGAGUGGAAGCACAGUAAUGUGUGGAGCUGACCGGUACUAAUAGGCCGAGGACUUGACCAUAA